AAAUUCACUGAUCUGAAACUAUUGGAUCUUACUAGGAUCCCCUCUUCUCUGUAAUACUCAGGGCCAUCUCCUCUACCUAUUCGGCCAACAGUUUCAGCAUCCAGCAACCAUGGUGACAAAGCUGAGCAUACUGGAACUGCUCUAAGUUUCCACGUUCUCGGUAAACAAGUGAACUAAGAAAGCCAAUCCUAUUUAAUAAAUGUUGGCAUAGAUUAAUACACUGGCACUACUUAGUCUGCAUGAAUGUUGUGGUCUUCUAAAUUGUUAGAAUAAUGUCAAGUAGUUUAGUAGGAGUCCGUGCUAGUUUAACUAGCCAAGUUUGAGUCUAAUUUGGUUAGAUUGAUUAGUUAGUUUUCCAGCAAGUCUGGUUUGCAUGUCAUAAGCAUUUGUGUACUUGGGUGGUCGUACUAGUCCAUAUAUGAUUCAAUGAGUUUGCAUAGCUAGCUGCCUACAUGUUAUACUACUAUGUCUUGGAGUUGGCAUGCCUUACUAGUGUAGGAAAGGGCGCUGGAGUCUGCGUUGUUUUAGAUGCUAUAAGUAGGGAGUAGGUUUAGAUUGUUUCGGCCAUGUAGCAUGUCAUAUCGUGGAACCAGGUCGUGCAAGAGUUUUUCCAUACAAGAACAAGGUCAUGUAAGAGUUUUGGUAUAAAAUAAGAUAAGAAAGAGUACGGUAAAGGACUUCGUGCACAUGUAUUCAGCUAUUUUGAUGUUCGAUUCUGUGGGCAAAAGCGAACAUAGAUUACUAAUGCAUAUGCCAAAUUAGCAGGCUACAGAGACUCGAUUGUUCCAAGUCGAUGUUGUUGGCGCUAAAACAUAGAAGACUACUGUGCCAAGCUGGAUUUACUAGGAGAUAGAUUCAAAUAUUCGAUGGUGCAUAUCUCAGAUGUUGGUUGCAAGGUCAAGAAUAGGGGUGCUACUAGAUAGUUUCACAUUGUGUCUUAGAAUGCCAUUUCCAGUUCCAAUGUUUCAAUCAUUAUGUAUCUGAUAUUUUUGGUAUCAAUGUUAGAUCAUUAUGUUUCAGAAUGGCUGACACGAAGGUUGCAAGGUCAAGAAUGGGAUUACUACUAGUUUCACAUCUUGCAAUCUUUGUAUGGUGUACUUUGUAAUGCAACCAAGUUGAUUUAAUAUAUGAUGAGAAAUUUCUGUUUA